rnacentral:tRNA from 1 species
GGAGAGGUGCCGGAGCGGACGAACGGGACGGACUUGAAAUCCGUUGGGGGACUUAAAUCCCCCUCGUGGGUUCAAAUCCCACCCUCUCCGCCA